rnacentral:rRNA from 1 species
UACGUAGGUGGCAAGCGUUACUCGGAAUCACUAGGCGUAAAGCGCAGGUAGGCGGUUUAGUAAGUCUCUUGUGAAAGCUCCCGGCUUAACUGGGAGAGGUCAAGGGAAACUACUGGGCUGGAGUGUGGUAGAGGAAGCUGGAAUUCCCGGUGUAGCGGUGAAAUGCGUAGAUAUCAAGCGGAACACCAGUGGCGAAGGCGAGUCCCUGGACAACUCCUGACACUGAGGCACGAAAGCUAGGGGAGCAAACAGG